rnacentral:rRNA from 1 species
GAUGAACGCUGGCGGCGUGCCUAACACAUGCAAGUCGAACGGAGUCCAGCCUUUAAGACCUUCGGGUCAAAGAGGGGAAGACUGAGUGGCGGACGGGUGAGUAACACGUGGGCAACCUGGCUCAUAGAGGGGGAUAACAGAGAGAAAUUUCUGCUAAUACCGCAUAAGCACACACUGCCGCAUGGCAGAGGGUGAAAAGAGAAUCGCUAUGAGAUGGACCCGCGUCUGAUUAGCCAGUUGGCAGGGUAAGAGCCUACCAAAGCGACGAUCAGUAGCCGAUCUGGGAGGAUGAACGGCCAAAAUGGGACUGAGACACGGCCCAAAAUCCUACGGGAGGCAACAGUGGGGGAUAUUGCACAAUGGGGGGAACCCUGAUGCAGCGACGCCGCGUGAGUGAAGAAGUAUUUCGGUAUGUAAAGCUCUAUCAGCAGGGAAGAUAAUGACAGUACCUGAAUAAGAAGCCCCGGCUAACUACGUG